UACGUAGGGUGCAAGCGUUAAUCGGAAUUACUGGGCGUAAAGCGUGCGCAGGCGGUUCGGAAAGAAAGAUGUGAAAUCCCAGGGCUUAACCUUGGAACUGCAUUUUUAACUGCCGGGCUAGAGUAUGUCAGGGGGGGGUAGAAUUCCACGUGUAGCAGUGAAAUGCGUAGAGAUGUGGAGGAAUACCGAUGGCGAAGGCAGCCCCCUGGGAUAAUACUGACGCUCAUGCACGAAAGCGUGGGGAGCAAACAGG
rnacentral:rRNA from 1 species